UGUCUGUCUGAUUGCAAACACUCACCUGUUGCAAUCAGACAACUCUCUUGGUUACUCAGACUGUCAAACACAUAUUGUGAAGUCUGAUACAUUGUAUGUGAUUAUUCAAAAUCUUUGAUUAGUGCUUUUCCUGUGGACUGCUUCCUGUUUAAUGUUCAGGUCUUGUCUAGAUUCUGUAGUUUCUGCCUUUUUUUAAAAAAACAUUUGCCUGCUUCACUUUUUUAAGGAUUGCCUAACACGUUUGGCUGUCUUCUGUAUUGUUUUCAUUUGCAUUGUUUUUCAUAAAUCUUGGUUUGGCAGCCUUGUGUCUGACUGCCUCCUUAGGACAUUGCUGGAAACAUGAAGACAGCAAGUUCUAGCAACAUUCUCCAAGCUUUCUCUGCUUGAGGCUGUGUAGAAACAAUGCCAUUAAGGAAAGCAUUAAAGAAAGUAGCAUCCUACAUCAGACUCUCCAUCUCCAUCUCCAUCUGCAUCCUGGUGGUUCUUCCUCAUGCUGAAAAUGGGAGGGAGCAUACAGAUGCCUCCACAUGGAUUAUCAGUGAUGGAACCAGAUUAGGUUAAGGAUUGAACGAUAAUACCUACUUUCCCUAGUGCCCUCAGUUCUUAAACAGCUUAAAACAUCCACCAUUUUCACAAAGAUCUACCUGAUUAAGUGUUUAGAACCUAGUUUGGAACAGAAAAUACAAUAAAUGAAAGACUGGAUGCAGUACAA